rnacentral:rRNA from 1 species
GCAAAGCACAGGCGUGAGGCGGAGGUAAUGCGUAGGUGGGGAGCGUGGACCGUGAGGAUUGGGCGGAAAGACGGCGCGGGCGGUCCUGUAAGUCUGAUGUGAAAGCCCACGGCUCAACCGUGGAGGGUCAUUGGAAACUGGGGGACUUGAGUGCAGAAGAGGAAAGCGGAAUUCCACGUGUAGCGGUGAAAUGCGUAGAGAUGUGGAGGAACACCAGUGGCGAAGGCGGCUUUCUGGUCUGUAACUGACGCUGAGGCGCGAAAGCGUGGGGAGCAAACAGGAUUAGAUACCCGUGUAGUC